rnacentral:rRNA from 1 species
UACGGAGGAUACAAGCGUUAUCCGGAAUUAUUGGGCGUAAAGCGUCCGCAGGUGGCACUUCAAGUCUGUCGUCAAAGACCGGGGCUUAACCCUGGAAAGGCGAUGGAAACUGAAAGGCUAGAGAGAGGUAGGGGUAGAGGGAAUUCCCAGUGUAGCGGUGAAAUGCGUAGAGAUUGGGAAGAACAUCGGUGGCGAAAGCGCUCUACUGGACCUCAUCUGACACUCAGGGACGAAAGCUAGGGGAGCGAAUGGG